UGCAGAUCAGUGAGUCAUCGAAUCUUUGAACGCACAUUGCGCCUCUCGGUAUUCCGGGAGGCACGCCUGUUCGAGCGCCAUUACAGACUCCAAGCAGCAGCUUGAUGUUGGGCGAGGUCCAUUUUCAUUUUCAUUUUUCCUUUUUUUCCGAGGCCGGAAGCUCCCCCGUGAGAGCGGGAGAGGGGAAGGCAUGGGAGGAGGGAGAGAGAGAGAGAGAGGGACGCGCCUGGAACGCGUGGGCGGCGGCAGCCAGAGCGCGAGCGUAGCAAGACGAGAAAGACGUCAUUCGCUCGGACAGCGUCUGGUGGACGACCGGUCGAAGGUCCAUCGUGAUGAUGGAGAAAGACAACAACGAGUUUGGCCUCGGAUCAGGCGGGGAUACCCGCUGAACUUAAGCAUAUCAAUAAGCGGAGGAAAAGAAACCAACCGGGAUUGCCCCAGUAACGGCGAGUGAAGCGGCAACAGCUCAAAUUUGAAAUCUGGGGUCCGAUGGGGCCUCCGAGUUGUAAUUUGCAGAGGGAGCCUCGGAGGGCGAGUCGGUCCAAGUGCCUUGGAACAGGAUACCGCAGAGGGUGAGAGUCCCGUAUCCGGCCGGCGUCGCGCUCCGUGUGAGGCCUCUUCGACGAGUCGAGUUGUUUGGGAAUGCAGCUCCAAGCGGGUGGUAAAUUCCAUCUAAAGCUAAAUACUGGCCAGAGACCGAUAGCGAACAAGUAGAGUGAUCGAAAGAUGAAAAGCACUUUGAAAAGAGAGUCAAACAGUACGUGAAAUUGUUGAAAGGGAAGCGCAUGGGGGCAGACUUGGCUGCGGGGUUCAGGGUGCGUUCUCGCGCCUGUACUUCCCCGCGGACAGGCCAGCAUCGGUUCUGUGGGCCGGACAAAGGCGCUGGGAAGGUGGCAGCCUUCGGGGUGUGUUAUAGCCCGGCGCGCAAUGCGGCCACGUGGGACCGAGGACCGCGCUUCGGCAAGGAUGCUGGCGUAAUGGCCUCAUGCGGCCCGUCUUGAAACACGGACCAAGGAGUCUAACAUCUAUGCGAGUGUUUGGGUGGCAAGCCCGGACGCGCAAUGAAAGUGAACGGAGGUGGGAAUUCCGGGGCAUCUGGAAAGCACCAUCGACCGAUCCGGAGGUAUUCCGAAGGAUUUGAGUAAGAGCAUAGCUGUUGGGACCCGAAAGAUGGUGAACUAUGCGUGAAUAGGGUGAAGCCAGAGGAAACUCUGGUGGAGGCUCGCAGCGGUUCUGACGUGCAAAUCGAUCGUCAAAUUUGCGUAUAGGGGCGAAAGACUAAUCGAACCAUCUAGUAGCUGGUUCCUGCCGAAGUUUCCCUCAGGAUAGCAGUAACGUAUUCAGUUUUAUGAGGUAAAGCGAACGAUUAGGGAGCUAGGGGUUGAAACAACCUUUAUCCAUUCUCGAACUUUAAAUAUGUAAGAAGUCCUUGUUGCUUUGUUGAACGUGGACAAUCGAAUGCAGCGUUACUAGUGGGCCAUUUUUGGUAAGCAGAACUGGCGAUGCGGGAUGAACCGAACGUGGGGUUAAGGUGCCGGAAUGCACGCUCAUCAGACACCACAAAAGGUGUUGGUUCAUCCAGACAGCAGGACGGUGGCCAUGGAAGUCGGAAACCGCUAAGGAGUGUGUAACAACUCACCUGCCGAAUGAACCAGCCCUGAAAAUGGAUGGCGCUCAAGCGUGCUACCCAUACCCCACCGUCUUUGUUGGAGGGUUCUGCGAAGACGAGUAGGCAGGCGUGGAGGUU
rnacentral:rRNA from 1 species